rnacentral:rRNA from 1 species
GGAGUCUAGCAUGUGCGCGAGUCAUUGGGACAUCGCUAAGCCUAAAGGCAAAAUGAAAGUGAAGGUCCGCCUAGCGCGGACCUAGGGAGGAUGGGUGAUCGGUCACGGCCGCCACCCCGCACUCCCGGGGCGUCUCGUUCUCAUCACGAGAAGAGGCGCACCAAGAGCGUACACGCUGGUACCCGAAAGAUGGUGAACUAUGCCUGGUCAGGACGAAGUCAGGGGAAACCCUGAUGGAGGUCCGUAGCGAUUCUGACGUGCAAAUCGAUCGUCUGAACUGGGUAUAGGGGCGAAAGACUAAUCGAACCAUCUAGUAGCUGGUUCCCUCCGAAGUUUCCCUCAGGAUAGCUGGUGCUCGUUGCGUACGAGUUUCAUCCGGUAAAGCGAAUGAUUAGAGGCAUUGGGGUCGAAACGGCCUCAACCUAUUCUCAAACUUUAAAUGGGUGAGAUCUCCGGCUUGCUUGAACGAAUGAAGCCGCGAGACUCGAAUCAGAGUGCCAAGUGGGCCAUUUUUGGUAAGCAGAACUGGCGCUGUGGGAUGAACCAAACGCAGAGUUAAAGCGCCAAAAUCAACGCUUAUGGGAUACCAUGAAAGGCGUUGGUAACUUAAGACAUCAGGACGGUGGCCAUGGAAGUC